AACGAACGCUGGCGGCAUGCCUAACACAUGCAAGUCGAACGAGACCUUCGGGUCUAGUGGCGCACGGGUGCGUAACGCGUGGGAACCUGCCCUUAGGUUCGGAAUCACUCCCCGAAAGGGGUGCUAAUACCGGAUACUGUCUUCGGACCAAAGAUUUAUCGCCUUUGGAUGGGCCCGCGUUGGAUUAGCUAGUUGGUAGGGUAAAAGCCUACCAAGGCGACGAUCCAUAGCUGGUCUGAGAGGAUGAUCAGCCACACUGGGACUGAGACACGGCCCAGACUCCGACGGGAGGCAGCAGUGGGGAAUAUUGGACAAUGGGCGAAAGCCUGAUCCAGCAAUGCCGCGUGAGUGAUGAAGGCCUUAGGGUUGUAAAGCUCUUUUACCCGGGAUGAUAAUGACAGUACCGGGAGAAUAAGCUCCGGCUAACUCCGUG
rnacentral:rRNA from 1 species